UGGGACUCUGCCUUGAGUUAGAGGUGAGCAAAAAGCACUUGAGGAGGCCAUUAAAAAUGCUAGAGAGAGGGAUCGGAGGACUCUCCUGACGUGCUAUGAACAAGGUACAUCAAAAAGGUGCAGCAAAACCUGCAAACAAUGAAGGCAAUGACAAAAGGUUGG